UCCGAGUGGUCUCAGGUUCUGGUUUUUGGGGGGGGGGCAUACCUUUUGAUCCAGGUCCAGGUCCAGGAGGAGGACUCCCGGGGUCUAUGCUGUUGAUUGUUUUGAAUUUCGGUGUCCUAGGAGCAUUCGAUUUGAGAUCGGUUUCAGGAGAUCUGAACUUUAGCUUUCUCUAAGCCGCCAUCUUGACUGGAAGCCUUCUAUUUUAUGUUAAUUUCACACAAAUUCAUGGAGGAUAUUUGCAAAGAAUGGUUUAAAUAAUCUAAAAUACAAGAAAUAGUGUUCCUAGAAACUGGAAAGGGAUAAAUUGACAACAAAGAAAAAUUAAGGGCUAUUUCAUACAAUAAAUUAUCUAUAGCAGAAAUUGAUGCUUUGAUUUUUGAUAAAAACUAAAAAUAAACAUGUUCAAAUAGAAUUUUAAUAAAUGUAUGAAUGCUGAGUAUUCCAUGAAUAGUAAUUUAGCAAAGUUAUAGAUAUUGGAAAAUGUGAGGAGAUUUAUAUGAUUAACCAUUUUUAGAUAAUUGUAAGGAAAAUAUACUCUCUUACCCAACAUCAAUUAGUGACUAUCCAGAAAAAGAAGUGAAAAAAAUUUUAUUACUAAUAUUGUUCCAGAAAUGCUACUUACUUGAAGUAAUAAUUCUUAUAUUUAAAAUAAUAAUUUCUCCUUUUAUGGUUUGAAUUUUAGAUCCAAAAAUGACCUUUAAGAAUAUCUAGUCUGAUUAAUCUUUUUUCUUUUACAAAUAAGAACUCUGGCACAGUUCGAUUUUAAGAGGCUUAUUCUAGGUCAGCAAGGUAUCUAGUAGCAACGUGGUUCAUAGCUUGGGCAUCUUGACUUCUGGUAGUAUUUCACUCAUCCAAAUAAUUAUCCAAAGUAGAAAGGACUCUCAAUAUGUUCAAUGUAACCUAUUCAUACUAAAAGAACUAGUAAGGGAGGUAGAGUAGAUGGAGUGCUAGACAAGGAAUCAAGAAGAUCUUAGUUCAAAUCCUUCCUUAGACACUAACUAGUUUUAUGACCCUGGGCAAAUUAUUUCUAUAAACAUGUUUCCUCAUCUGUAAAAUCUGUUAAAAAGAGGUUUGGACUAGGUGGCCUUUUAGCUCGAGCUCUUAAUCUGAAAGCACUUUGAGUAUUAAAAGAAAUAAAACUAUUCUUAAGUUACAUAUCAUUCAAGAAGGGGCAUGACUGAUUGGAUAGAGAGUGGGCUAAUGAGUAAGGAAAAUUUGGGUUCAAAUCUUCCAUGUGAUAUAGAGUGGCUAUAUGACUGUGGGCAAAUCACUUAACCUUUCAGUGCCCUGGACAGCUUUGCAAAACUACAAAUUUCACAUGAGAUGUUGAUCUUAAUGGGUAUAAAGGAUUUCCCUCCGGAGUACGAAUGAAAUCAUCAGUUCAGAUAAUAACAACAUCAAUAGUAAUAAUAAUUUAAUUAUAUAGGAGGCAAGGAAGAGUAGUUUUUUGGCCCCCAGAGAGGAACCUUCAUGCAGUAAAGUCAGUUUGUUUCUACUCUUCCAAAUAAAGUCAUGUUUACCUUUUAGGGGGUUAAUGUCUUGUUCAGACUUGGGCUCAGUGAGGUAAACUGAAAUAUGCCUAUUGUCUUGAGGCAACUUAUAUCUUAUUCAAAUGCUUCAGAUGCAAUAAAGCCUCAUUGACUUGGGUCCGCCCCUGUAAACCUCAAUUUUUAGAAGCUUUCAGUGUCAAUUACCUCCCACAACAAAGCAGUCAGCAAGUCUCUUGGUAUUGCCCAGAGUGUCAUAUCAUCAAUCCCAAACCUGUUUACACUUCACAGUAAAAUUUAAUUUCUUGUAGUUCCUGCUGAGAGUUAGGCUGCCUUAAUCAAUUGAAUUCUUAAGGAAAAUGAGAGUCUCUGAGGUAAACCAGAACUUAUUAAAACUGAGCUUCCAAUCAAAAUUUCCAGAAGCAAUGGGGUUUCCUAAUUCAGUUCAUUCAAUACAUGCAACUCAGCAGUUUUCAGGCUGUAUUUGCUGGGAUGUGGUGAAUUCUCUCCCAUUAAGAAAAGUUGAAUAGAAUUCAAUUCAUGCAAUAUUAAUAACUUGCUCUACUUUACAGCUUAGUAAUAAAGUUAUUUAUGCUGCCAGCGGCAUUUAGUGACAUUAGCAUUGGAAAAAUAUCACUACACAGGCAUGGCCGGGACUAUGCUAUUUAAAAACUGAAGAACUUCAGCAAAGCUCUGCAAUACUACAAAACAUAUCUUGGGACAAAAGGAAAAAGGACUCUGGGACAACGUAUUAGCAUGUAAAAGCAAAGAAAAAUAUUCUAAAAGAAAAUGAUGUGGCACUGUCUCUCAAAACAAAAGAAUCAGGAAAAUGGGUCAGAGGUGUAAUCAUAAUGAGUAAGCAAAAUCUCUAUAAAGAUGAAAGUGUUGAUGGAAUACAAAUUCUCUCUCCUCAUAGAUCAACUGCAUUUUUUCAAUAUCUAGUUAGACCCUGGCCAGAUUUCUUUAUAUAUAGGCAAAAUUUUUGUUCUGGGACCUUUUUUAUUUUUCCUAAUACACACAAUUAUAUUAAUACCAAUUAAGUGUCAUUUAAUUAUUAUUUGAUAUGAUUUCAUGUGUGUCAGUCUUAUAUCCUCUUGUAGAUUACCAAUACUGUAAUAAUGAUGAUCACAGUAGAAAUAAUAACAACAAUGAUGAUUGUUGGUGAUGAUAAUGGUGAUGAUGAUGCACAGUGUAUAGAGAUCCAUCUUCAAAAUCAGGAAGACCUAGGUUGAAGAUCUCUGAGGUAUUGGCUACAGGUAAGAGACUUAACCUCUUCAUUAUCCAACUAGACUACACUGGUAGAGUGAGAUCCCUCAAUCUAAUUAGUUCCUUACACCAUUAAAAUUACAGACUAAGUGCCUAUCUUGUAACACUUAGAGGGAUCAGGGCAGAGUGCCGUGUGGAUACUGAAAAGAGUGUUACACAGGAAGGCUGGAAUACAAAUACAAAUAUCACCUCUGAUAUUUAUUAUCUAUAUGACCGAGUCAUCUAACUUCUUUGAGUCUCAAACAAUUACCUAGAACUUCUGUUUUGAUUCAUGGGUGGGUAGCGAUCAGUACUUGUAUAAGAUUGUUUAAGUAAUUGUGUUCAGAGAUUUACAAAGCACCUUCUUCAUAGAAAUGCUGGAAGGAAGAGAGGUGCUACAGGGUGCAAAAUGAAUAAGAUGGAGUUAGAAGGCUGAAUCCUGACUUCCAUGAUUUGCCACUACUCAUGUGUCUUUAGUAAGUCUCAAUUCUCUAUUUGUGAGAUCAAAGUGCUUGAUCAGAUAACCUGGCAAUUCCCUGCCAUUUCUAAAUCGAUCUUCAUUUUACAGAUAUGGAAACUGAAGCUCAAAAUAAAAUGAAUGAAUGAAUGAAAAAAUAAAUAAAUAAAUUUAUUAAUUAAAGUGGACAUCCCAGGAGGAUAGAACUAAUAAACCACAAAGUCUGGAUUAAAACCCAGAUCUUCUCAUUUCAAAUCCAAGGUUCUACCCACUACAAUAACAUGCCUUCUCAGUGACCAUGUCUUACUUAAUUCUUCUCAGUUCCCUCCACAGCCAUAUGUGCCAUUUCAGAGAAAGCCUAGAUGAAGGAAGUUACUGGUAAGCAAAAUCCUCCCACCAGUGCAAAUCAUCUCCAUCUCUGAGACUUACAGCCUUGAGAGGUGGCUGGAAUUCUAAAAGUGCCAGCUAGAUGGCGUAAUGGAGAGAGUGUCAGACUGAAGUCAAGAAGACUCAUCUCUGGAGUUUACAUCUGACCUUAGACACUUAGUAGUUGUGUGACCCUGGAUAAGUCACUUACUCCUGUUUGCCUCAGUUUCCUCAUCUGUAAAAAUGAGCUGAAGGAAAUGGCACUCCAGUAUCUUUACCAAGAAAAUCCCAAAUGGUGUCAUAGCGUCAGACAUGAUGGAAAUGACUGAACAACAACACUUCCCCAUGCCUAGUACAUUGUUGGUACUUAAUAAAUAUUUAUUGAAUUGAAUUUUACAAAUAGAAAA